GGGGAUGUGGUUCAGUAGUAGAAUGUUUGCCUAGUAGGCAUGAGGCCCUGGGUUCAAUCCCCAGCACCUCCA